rnacentral:sRNA from 1 species
CACAGAGCCCGGGCCACAGGCAGCUCCUUGCCAGCUCUCCUCCUCGCACAGCCGCUCGAACUGCCUGCUGAGCCCCAUGGCCCGCGCCGCGCUCUCCGCCGCCCCCAGCAAUCCCCGGCUUCUGCGGGUGGCGCUGCUGCUCCUGCUUCUGGUGGCCGCUGGCCGGCGCGCAGCAGGAGCGCCCCUGGCCACUGAACUGCGCUGCCAGUGCUUGCAGACCCUGCAGGGAAUUCACCUCAAGAACAUCCAAAGUGUGAAUGUGAAGUCCCCCGGACCCCACUGCGCCCAAACCGAAGUCAUGUAAGUCUUUCCCAUCGCUGCCGCUGCCACCGCUGGGGUCCCCGACUCUCCCGCUGCCCCAAACCCUGUCCUCAGCCCGACCUCCUGUCUCACGAGAUUCCCUUCUCUCUGCAGAGCCACACUCAAGAAUGGGCAGAAAGCUUGUCUCAACCCCGCAUCCCCCAUGGUUAAGAAAAUCAUCGAAAAGAUGCUGAAAAAGUAAGUUAUAAUUUCCAUGUACACAGGCGACUGGAGCUGUUGGUCAGAAAUACUAGCAUCUGCCCCCUAA